GGAUUUUAAAAGAACAGAUUAGGCAUAGUUUUCGGGCAAAAUUAUAGCCAUGUGUCGUGUUGAUUAGUAUAUUGACCAUGUUGACGUUCUCCCGAAAUGGUACUCGCCAAUUGACACCAUUGUGAUCUAUCUCAGAAGUUUAACUUCUACGGUAAUCCACCAGAGUCCAAGAGUAAACUCUCAGAGAGGGGUGGCAGUCCGAUUUUGUCAGCUUACUCGAGUUGGAGAUGGAAGAUAAUGUACAUUUGGACAAUAACAUUUGACCAGAAUGUACACGAUGGGCUGCAUCAUAGUUUUGAAGGAAAAGGUUACUCUAUUUAUUACAGACAGCAAGAAAACAUCAUUGAACACCACCAACUAAUAAGACUCCAAAGGAAUAAUGGAAAAUAAGAUAUUUAAAGCUGUCAAAAAGCAGAGAUUAGAGUUCAGUGGAUUCCAUGACGGUACUUUGGAUAAUGUUA